rnacentral:rRNA from 1 species
CAGCGCGGGGCAACCUGGCGGCGAGUGGCGAACGGGUGAGUAMYAUAUCGGAACGUACCCUGGAGUGGGGGAUAACGUAGCGAAAGUUACGCUAAUACCGCAUACGAUCUAAGGAUGAAAGCAGGGGACCGCAAGGCCUUGUGCUCCUGGAGCGGCCGAUAUCUGAUUAGCUAGUUGGUGGGGUAAAGGCCCACCAAGGCAUCGAUCAGUAGCUGGUCUGAGAGGACGACCAGCCACACUGGAACUGAGACACGGUCCAGACUCCUACGGGAGGCAGCAGUGGGGAAUUUUGGACAAUGGGCGCAAGCCUGAUCCAGCAAUGCCGCGUGAGUGAAGAAGGCCUUCGGGUUGUAAAGCUCUUUUGUCAGGGAAGAAACGGUUGGGGCUAAUAUCCCYAGCUAAUGACGGUACCUGAAGAAUAAGCACCGGCUAACUACGUGCCAGCAGCCGCGGUAAUACGUAGGGUGCAAGCGUUAAUCGGAAUUACUGGGCGUAAAGCGUGCGCAGGCGGUUUUGUAAGUUUGUCGUGAAAUCCCCGGGCUCAACCUGGGAAUGGCGAUGAAGACUGCAAGGCUAGAGUUUGGCAGAGGGGGGUAGAAUUCCACGUGUAGCAGUGAAAUGCGUAGAUAUGUGGAGGAACACCGAUGGCGAAGGCAGCCCCCUGGGUCAAAACUGACGCUCAUGCACGAAAGCGUGGGGAGCAAACAGGAUUAGAUACCCUGGUAGUCCACGCCCUAAACGAUGUCUACUAGUUGUCGGGUCUUAAUUGACUUGGUAACGCAGCUAACGCGUGAAGUAGACCGCCUGGGG